AGCAAUUACAAUGUUUUACUCCCCUUGAAGAGACUGAACUAAUUUAGCUAAUUUCAUCAUCAAAAUCAUCAACC